GAACGGGUGAGUAACACGUGGGUGAUCUGCCCUGCACUUUGGGAUAAGCCUGGGAAACUGGGUCUAAUACCGAAUAUGACCAUGCGCCUCCUGGUGUGUGGUGGAAAGCUUUUGCGNNNNNNNNNGGGCCCGCGGCCUAUCAGCUUGUUGGUGGGGUAAUGNCCUACCAAGGCGACGACGGGUAGCCGGCCUGAGAGGGUGACCGGCCACACUGGGACUGAGAUACGGCCCAGACUCCUACGGGAGGCAGCAGUGGGGAAUAUUGCACAAUGGGCGCAAGCCUGAUGCAGCGACGCCGCGUGAGGGAUGACGGCCUUCGGGUUGUAAACCUCUUUCAGCACAGACGAAGCGCAAGUGACGGUAUGUGCAGAAGAAGGACCGGCCAACUACGUGCCAGCAGCCGCGGUAAUACGUAGGGUCCGAGUGUUGUCCGGAAUUACUGGGCGUAAAGAGCUCGUAGGUGGUUUGUCGCGUUGUUCGUGAAAACUCACAGCUUAACUGUGGGCGUGCGGGCGAUACGGGCAGACUUGAGUACUGCAGGGGAGACUGGAAUUCCUGGUGUAGCGGUGGAAUGCGCAGAUAUCAGGAGGAACACCGGUGGCGAAGGCGGGUCUCUGGGCAGUAACUGACGCUGAGGAGCGAAAGCGUGGGGAGCGAACAGGAUUAGAUACCCUGGUAGUCCACGCCGUAAACGGUGGGUACUAGGUGUGGGUUUCCUUCCUUGGGAUCCGUGCCGUAGCUAACGCAUUAAGUACCCCGCCUGGGGAGUACGGCCGCAAGGCUAAAACUCAAAGAAAUUGACGGGGGCCCGCACAAGCGGCGGAGCAUGUGGAUUAAUUCGAUGCAAC
rnacentral:rRNA from 1 species